rfam:Mesitornis unicolor contig97629, whole genome shotgun sequence.
CACAUACUCCUUUCCGCAUUCUUCUUCGUGCCCCAAAGCAAAUAUUUAUUCUCCGCAUAUUUUUCCUUUUCUUUCAGGCUCCAGUUUUGAAACCUGUGGAUUUCCCCCGGCCAAACACCGCUUGAUUGGCAUGAAUUGGGUCGGUUUGUUUCCCCUCUGUUUUCUCGAAGCUGCUUCCGAAAACCGCGUUGCAGCGGAGCAGGAGAGAGGAGGGAGAAGGUGGAAGGGGAGGCAACGCGAUGGGGCAGCGCUGCUUUCCAUACGGGUGAGACACGGCUGAAGACCAAGGUCAAGUUGAAAGUUGCAGCCUGGUCAAUGCGAGAACUGUCAUUCACAGACCGAAAAUCGAUCUGAUUUGUUAAAAAGCGGGUAGGCACGAGAACACUGAUCUCCCCAGCUCCCCCUC